ACACUCCUGCGGGAGGCAGCAGUGAGGAAUAUUGGACAAUGGGUGGAAGCCUGAUCCAGCCAUCCCGCGUGCAGGAAGACGGCCCUAUGGGUUGUAAACUGCUUUUAUCUGGGGAUAAACCUACUUACGUGUAAGUAGCUGAAGGUACCAGAAGAAUAAGCACCGGCUAACUCCGUGCCAGCAGCCGCGGUAAUACGGAGGGUGCAAGCGUUAUCCGGAUUUAUUGGGUUUAAAGGGUCCGUAGGCGGACUGAUAAGUCAGUGGUGAAAUCCGACAGCUUAACUGUCGAACUGCCAUUGAUACUGUUAGUCUUGAGUAAGGUUGAAGUGGCUGGAAUAAGUAGUGUAGCGGUGAAAUGCAUAGAUAUUACUUAGAACACCAAUUGCGAAGGCAGGUCACUAAGUCUUAACUGACGCUGAUGGACGAAAGCGUGGGGAGCGAACAGGAUUAGAAACCCUUGUAGUCCC
rnacentral:rRNA from 1 species